GUGCCUGCUUCGGCAGCACAUAUACUAAAA
rnacentral:snRNA from 1 species